rnacentral:rRNA from 1 species
CCUACGGGAGGCAGCAGUGGGGAAUAUUGCACAAUGGCGGAGACCCUGAUGCAGCGACGCCGCGUGAGUGAAGAAGUAAUUCGUUGUGUAAAACUCUAUCAGCCGGGUAGAAAAUGGCGGUACCUGAGUAAGAAGCCCAGGCCAACUACGUGCCGGGAGCCGCGGGAAUACGGAGGGGGCAAGGGUUAUCCGGAUUUACUGGGUGUAAAGGGAGCGUAGACGGGAGUGAAAGUCUGGAGUGAAAGGCGGGGGCUCAAACCCCGCUCUGCUCUGGAAACUGUACGGCUGGAGUGCAGGAGAGGUAGGUGGAAUGCGUAGUGUAGCGGUGAAAUGCGUAGAUAUUACGAGGAACACCAGUCGCGAAGGCGGCCUACUGGAGUGUAACUGACGUUGAUGCACGAAAGCGUGGGUAGCAAACAGGAUUAGAUACCCGGGUAGUC